UUCGCUUUUGAUUAAGGAUCUUGACAUGGCACCUAGCUGUUUUUGAUUUCCUGUAGUUUUUGUUGAUCUUCUCCUUCUUCGGAUUAAAUUGCUCAUUGUUUUUCCUAUUCUUUUGCAGGAACAUGAACCUUAUGAUGACCCAUAGUUGGAUGUAUGUGAGAGGAUGAACAUUCAGACAUCCUUGAUGACUGGGAUUCUAGGAAGACGAUCACAUACUCGACCAGCCCACCUGUCACCGCGAGAAUCAUCCUGGUAACAAUAAAAUCUACAACCAAGAACAUUUGUUUGUGUCAGACAUCUUUAAUAACUAACGUGGAAGUAUUGACAGUUCUCCACAAGCUAAUUGUUUGAUGUGAUUAUCUGGUGGUGCUUUUGCUCCAGCUUCAAUUGCAUUGCUUCUGUUGUAUCGAUGGACUCUUUUCCCUUCGGUCAUUGAUUGAACCGAGUUGAUUCUGCAUAGCCGCAUAGGGAUAGGUACUUUUGAUAGUCUACUAUACAAAAAUAUUUGGCCAGUUAUUACCCUCCCUAUGUAUCUAUUCUUUCUCAAGUUUGAAUUGUUAAUAUAUCCAUUAGAGGAUUAGUUAUCCGUC